CCUUGACUGGCUCAGUCAGUAAAGCAUGUGACUCUCAAUCUCAAAGUCAUGAGUUCAAGCCCCAUGUUGAGGU
rnacentral:tRNA from 1 species